AGUUAUUUUAAUUGUAAGUUGCUCUAGAUAAGAGCAUCUGCUAAAUGACUAAAA
rfam:Salmo salar isolate Sally breed double haploid chromosome ssa04, whole genome shotgun sequence.